AUGAGCCUCUGGUGCUCCUGUGGGUGCAGCAUGAGCCCCCCUCCCCCCGAGAGAGACAAAGACGUCCACCGCCUUUGCCCAAGGCGGAGGGGAAACUCAUGCGCUCGCUGUCCCACAGGCUUCCAGCGGCUGGAGAAAGGCUCGCGCAAGCGGAAGGUGGCAGCAUCCAAGGGAAACAACCCAGUGAAUCUGGCAAAAGGGACCGAAGCCACUGUGUCGAAGCCCCCGCUAGGCUUGGUGCCGUCCAGGUACCCGCAGAAGAAGGAAGGAAGCAAAGUCCUCGGAGGGCUGACAGCCACCUCAGCCAGGGGGCCGGCCGGCCGUAGAGUAUCACACCAUCACUUUGCCCCUACUCUGUUCCUGCUUGACCGCCAGAGUUCUCCACAGAGUCCUGUCUGGGACCAUCAGAAGAGAUGGGCUUCUUGCCUGGGCCCCUCUGGGCCUGCAGCCUGCUCCCCACCACAGCCCGCCCAGUGCCCCCACUGGAAGCCCACCAGCAGCAGCACGGGAGGGCGGCAGCCUCCAGACAUCUAUCUCCCCCGGCAGCCACCAUCCGGAACCCCUGGCCGCCCCUGGUACCCCAGGCAGUGCUUGCCACAGGCUGCUCCUGAAGCCUACCUCUGGUCUGAGCCAGGACGAUCCGGUCUAAGCUGGGCGGCCUGGCAGCCAGACCCAACAGAGGAGCUGUGCGCCUGGCCCCGCCCUCCCACCAGGGGGCAAGGAUUGGCUCUGUUGCCUCAAGAGCCACCGCAGACCAAAAUACGUUCCUGGCCAAAGGCCACAGAGGAGUUUCCCUUCUCAGCUGAUUUACCUGGCAAAAAUUUAGCUUGCCCUUCACCCCAAGGGCACAGGGCAGGCAACAGGGUAAAAUAA
rnacentral:lncRNA from 1 species